ensembl:lncRNA
AGAAUAAGCAGGCACUGACAACUCUUUUGUGCAAAUCUUUUUGCUUAUGUCAUUGAAUCCUAUCAGUGUACCAAGGAAGGAGUUAACAUACCCAUUUUUCAGAUGAUCAAUUUAUGGUUUCAGGAGUUUCUGUGACUUGCCUAACCAAUCCAGGUGAAUUCAAAGACUGUGCCCUCCCCACUUUCUUGGCUGUAGCAGGGGACUUAAUGACUAUAGUCUCCUAAUAAAAUUUGAUAAGACAGGAGAGUCAUUCAGUAGGGCAUAGGAAAUCAGUAAUUUGACUUUUGCUUGUAAGCAACAGGGUCUCCUUUCAUUUUCACUCUCAUCUGUCACUCUUCUGUAAUAAAAUUAUGUCUAAAUUAUUUUCUACCUGCUUCAUAGACACUACAUAUUAGAAUAAAAGUAAAAGAGAAACAGGAGGCGAAGUAGGUUGGUGGGCCACUCGGUAGGAGCAUUCAUUUGGAUACUGACUCGUAUAUAUGGUUGCCUGUCCUUCAUCAGAAUAGCACCUUUUAUUUUUCCCUCCCAGGUUUAUAAGGCUGUUGCCUAUGUUUGCUAAUUUAUUUCUAUAUGAAGUUUGAAGAUUUUAUCAUCAGCAGGCUUCUGUGUGUGUAUCCUACAAGUAACUCAGGAAUUUUGAAAAUAUGUUUUUAAGACUUUUUGCUCAUUAUGACACUGACUAGAAAAGAUACUGUAACUGUCCAACAAAUCCAUCAAUAGACAUAGAAGAGAAGUAAUUAUCUUGUAUUUUUCUUCAGUAGGAAUAAAGAUUGUUGAAAAUGAACUCGGAGGCUCAACUUAGUGCAUCUCUUUUGAUAGUCUGUAGCAAUUUGACAAUCACAAUUUGGUAAAUAUGGAUUCAUCAGGGCAUAUUUUGCAUUUUGAAAUUCCUCCCUGACCUUUGCAUCUUGAAAGUGUGCAGUUAUUUUUUAACAUUAAAGUCUUAUUUAUUUCUCUGAAGGAAUAGAUAUUUCAGUUGUAAUCUGUUGAAAAAAAUAAUCCUAGGAAAUAAUAUGCUUAAAGACCUAUAUAAUUUUAAAGCUUUAUUGUAAAAUUUGAAUAUGUAGACUAUUUUAUAGGUGCAGAAUUUUUUCUUUUUUCCUUUUUAGGGCCAUACCCUCGAUAAUAUGGAAGUUCCCAGACUAGGGGUUGACUACAGCUCUGAUUUGAACCCUAGCCUGGGAACCUCCAUCAUAUGCUGCAGCUGUGGCCCUAAAAAGACCAAAAAAAAGAGUAGGGGCUUGCCAGGGGGGCAACAGGAGCAAGAAAGAGGGCAUUCUGGGCAGAGAGGCCAGCACACUGUGCUCUGAGAACUUGUCAGUACUUCACUCUGGCUGAAAGGUAGUCUUUGGGAGAACAGGAAGAGCAGGAGAUGCUGAGAGGGCUGAGAGGGUUCAGAUUAUCGUAAAAGAGUCCCAGCUGCCAUCAGUGACCCUCUGAAUUUUGGUUGUUAGUAAAUUGGCAACUGCAGAAGAAUUAUUUGGCAAUACAAUAAUACCAGGUUUAAAAAAUCGUUGUUAAUAUUUAUUGAGCAGGCACUGUAUGUCAGGCAUCCUUUUAUUUUUUUUUUAGGUUUACAUGAUUUUUAUUUUUCCCUUAUAGUUUGUUUACAGUGUUCUGUCAAUUUCUGCUGUACAGCAAAGUGACCCAGUCACACAUACAUAUACAUUCUUUUAAAUGCUUUGCAUGCAACUCGUUUAAGCCUUUCAAGAACCCCCUAAGGUUGUCUAGCACGAGGAGCUGUACCCCAUAUUCUGUGAUCAUCUGUGUUGGAAAAGACUCUGAAACAGAAUAGAUGUGUGUACAUGUAUAACUGAAUCAUUUUGUUGCACAGCAGAAAUAUCACAACAUGGUGUAUCAAUUAUACUU